rnacentral:rRNA from 1 species
GACGAACGCUGGCGGCGUGCCUAAUACAUGCAAGUCGAACGAGUGGCGGACGGGUGAGUAACACGUGGGAACCUACCCAUCAGAGGGGGAUAACUACUGGAAACGGUAGCUAAUACCGCAUACCAUCGGAUGUGCCCAGAUGGGAUUAGCUAGUAGGUGGGGUAACGGCGAACCUAGGCGACGAACCCUAGCUGGUCUGAGAGGAGAAGCAGCCACACUGGAACUGAGACACGGUCCAGAUUCCUACGGGAGGCAGCGGUGGGGAAUAUUGCACAAUGGGCGAAAGCCUGAUGCAGCCAGGCCGCGAGGAGGAAGAAGGCCUUCGGGUUGUAAAGUACUGUCAGCGAGGAGGCGGUACUCGCAGAAGAAGCACCGGCUAACUCCGUGCCAGCAGCCGCGGUAAUAC